rnacentral:sRNA from 2 species
GUAUUUAUUGCGCCAAGUGAGACGAAAAGCGGGGGAACCAAGCUCUUUAAGAGCACAGGGGCGAAUUUUCAGUGUGACACCCUGAAAAAGGACAUCUCUCAGUCCUAGCCCGUCAGCUAACCUCGUCAGCAUUGAGGGAAGACUGU